rnacentral:snRNA from 1 species
AAAGGUUCUUGACCUUUUGGCUAAUAUCAGUUUAAUAUCUUAUAUAUCCUCUAUCUGAGGACAAUAUAUUAAAUGGAGUUUUGGAACAGAGAUUUGGAAUAGGAGCUUGUUCUGUCCACGCCACGCAUUGACCUGGUAUUGCAGUACCUCCAGGAACAGUGCACACGCA